rnacentral:rRNA from 1 species
GUAGGUGGCAAGCGUUAUCCGGAAUUACUGGGCGUAAAGCGCACGCAGGCGGCUCAGCAAGUUCGACGUGAAAGCUCCCGGCUUAACUGGGAGAGGUCGUUGAAGACUGCUGGGCUUGAGGCAAGGAGAGGGGUGUAGAAUUCCCGGUGUAGUGGUGGAAUGCGUAGAUAUCGGGAGGAAUACCAGUGGCGAAAGCGGCACCCUAGCCUUAGCCUGACGCUCAUGUGCGAAAGCGUGGGGAGCGAACGGGAUUAGAUACCCCGGUAGUCCACGCUGUAAACGAUGAACACUAGGUGUAGGGGAUGUGAAAGUUCUCUGUGCCGAAGCCAACGCGUUAAGUGUUCCGCCUGGGGAGUACGGCCGCAAGGCUAAA